AUUGAACGCUGGCGGCAUGCUUUACACAUGCAAGUCGAACGGUAACAGGGUGCUUGCACCGCUGACGAGUGGCGAACGGGUGAGUAAUGCGUCGGAACGUGCCGAGUAGUGGGGGAUAACGCAGCGAAAGUUGUGCUAAUACGGCAUACGUACUGAGGUAGAAAGUGGGGGACCUUCGGGCCUCACGCUAUUCGAGCGGCCGACGUCUGAUUAGCUAGUAGGUGAGGUAAAGGCUCACCUAGGCGACGAUCAGUAGCGGGUCUGAGAGGAUGAUCCGCCACACUGGGACUGGGACACGGCCCAGCCUCCUACGGGAGGCAGCAGUGGGGAAUUUUGGACAAUGGGCGAAAGCCUAAUCAGCCAUGCCGCGUGUCUGAAGAAGGCCUUCGGGUUGUAAAGGACUUUUGUCAGGGAGGAAAUCCCUAGUGCUAAUAACACUGGGGGAUGACAGUACCUGAAGAAUAAGCACCGGCUAACUACGUGCCAGCAGCCGCCGUAA
rnacentral:rRNA from 1 species